rnacentral:rRNA from 1 species
UGGGUGACCUGCCUCAAAGAGGGGAAUAGCCUCCCGAAAGGGAGAUUAAUACCGCAUAAUAUGUUUAAGUCGCAUGACUUUAACAUCAAAGGAUUUUCUUUUAGAACUUCCACUUUGAGAUGGACCCGCGGCGCAUUAGCUAGUUGGUGAGGUAACGCUCACCAAGGCGACGACGGGUAGCCGGCCUGAGAGGGUGACCCGGCCACACGUGGGACUGAGACACGGCCCAGACCUCCCGUACGGGGAGGNAGCG